rnacentral:rRNA from 1 species
UACAGAGGUCUCAAGCGUUGUUCGGAUUCAUUGGGCGUAAAGGGUGCGUAGGCGGCGCGGUAAGUCGGGUGUGAAAUUCGGAGCUUAACUCCGAAACUGCAUUCGAUACUGCCGUGCUUGAGGACUGGAGAGGAGACUGGAAUUUACGGUGUAGCGGUGAAAUGCGUAGAUAUCGUAAGGAAGACCAGUGGCGAAGGCGGGAUCUCUG